rnacentral:rRNA from 1 species
UACGUAGGGUGCAAGCGUUGUCCGGAAUUUAUUGGGCGUAAAGAGCUCGUAGGCGGUUUGUCGCGUCUGCUGUGAAAACUGGAGGCUCAACCUCCAGCCUGCAGUGGGUACGGGCAGACUAGAGUGCGGUAGGGGAGAUUGGAAUUCCUGGUGUAGCGGUGGAAUGCGCAGAUAUCAGGAGGAACACCGAUGGCGAAGGCAGAUCUCUGGGCCGUAACUGACGCUGAGGAGCGAAAGCAUGGGGAGCGAACAGG